ensembl:lncRNA
GCCUUGGGGUUAUUGACAAACAAGAGGACCAGACAUUCCAAAGCUUGACUUUAGGACUGACUGGUGCUUGUGUUUUAAAGCCUGCCGAAAGAAUUAACAUUCGACAGCUGUCUAUAGAUCUCCAUGCAGUUUGUUCAGUGGCUUGAACAAUGCAGUGAGUAUUCCAACCCUGAAGAACUGGGAAAGGAGAGAGAUGAAGAAAUCCAGGAGGGAGCCAGUUCUCUCUUCUUGAACGAUGGAGAAGGAAAUGGCAACCCACUCCGGUAUUCUUGCCUGGAGAGGCCUACGGAUAGAGGAGCCUGGUGGGCUGCUGUCCAUAGGGUCACACAGAGUCGGGCAUGACUGAGCAACUUCACUUUCACUUUUCACUCUCAUGCAUUGGAGAGGAAAUGGCAACCCACUCCAGUGUUCUUGCCUGGAGAAUCCCAGCCUGGUGAGCUGCUGUCUAUGGGAUCGCACAGAGUCGGACACAACUGAAGCGACUUAGGAGCAGCAGCAGCUUCUUGAAAGAUGCCCUUCAGUGCUUCAUUCCUGCUUCAACUAAGUUCUGCUGGUACUUCAGUUUCCACUUGCAAGGGCCUUUGGAAGCCUUUCCCGACCUCAAGAUUAAAGUCCUCCUCUCCCUGUACCCUAGCAGGGUAGUAGCUUGCUGUACAGCAACUGCUUGUUAACUUCUCGAUCUCCUCCAUCGCCUGAAAGCUCUUAGAGGACAGGAUUCAUGUACAGUGCAUUGUAUUCCCAGGAGUUAGGAGGGUCUAAUCCUUAUUAGCUACGUACAAAACAUCUGUUGAACAAACGGUUGCAAAUGAAUAGUAACUUAAAGAAAGGCUACAUUUCUGAGGUAAUGCUAAUUGCUUGUAGGAUAGUUAAAUGUCAGUAUUGAAACCUAAUCUUUAGCUGCUGUCUUGCAGAUAAAACGGAUGUUCACCAAGUAUGUAUUUUGUAUUUUGUUGCACUGUACACCCCAACUAGUAAGCCGAGGAAUCGACAUGUGUUAGAUAAUUGUACUGUUUCUAAAAACCACAAACUGAGAAUGAUAAAUAAUCAAUUCAGUUUAGUAUUUACUAAUUAAAAAAAAAAAGUAUUUACUAAUUUUACCACACUCUUUUGUUAUGUAAUGUAGGGGAGUCAUAGGGAUUAUGCAUUCUAUUUGAGUAAACUUUAAAACCAAAUAUUUUAUGGUAAAGAGCUUUUAAGGUAGCCAAAGCACUGAUAUGAUAUAUCUGCUGUAAAGAGAACUGCAAGAGUUUUAUUUAUAUUUCUGAUGUUAAAAGUUACUUAAUAAAGACUUGUUUCCAUUAAAAAAAAUAAAGACUAUAUCAUGUUCAGUACCAUAACUUUAAGAAAAUAGAAGUA